GGACGGGCGGCGUGCUUACCAUGCAGUCGAACGAUGAACCACUUCGGUGGGGAUUAGUGGCGAACGGGUGAGUAACACGUGGGCAAUCUGCCCUUCACUCUGGGACAAGCCCUGGAAACGGGGUCUAAUACCGGAUAUGAGCCUGGGAGGCAUCUCCCGGGUUGUAAAGCUCCGGCGGUGAAGGAUGAGCCCGCGGCCUAUCAGCUUGUUGGUGAGGUAAUGGCUCACCAAGGCGACGACGGGUAGCCGGCCUGAGAGGGCGACCGGCCACACUGGGACUGAGACACGGCCCAGACUCCUACGGGAGGCAGCAGUGGGGAAUAUUGCACAAUGGGCGAAAGCCUGAUGCAGCGACGCCGCGUGAGGGAUGACGGCCUUCGGGUUGUAAACCUCUUUCAGCAGGGAAGAAGCGAGAGUGACGGUACCUGCAGAAGAAGCGCCGGCUAACUACGUGCCAGCAGCCGCGGUAAUACGUAGGGCGCAAGCGUUGUCCGGAAUUAUUGGGCGUAAAGAGCUCGUAGGCGGCUUGUCACGUCGAUUGUGAAAGCCCGAGGCUUAACCUCGGGUCUGCAGUCGAUACGGGCUAGCUAGAGUGUGGUAGGGGAGAUCGGAAUUCCUGGUGUAGCGGUGAAAUGCGCAGAUAUCAGGAGGAACACCGGUGGCGAAGGCGGAUCUCUGGGCCAUUACUGACGCUGAGGAGCGAAAGCGUGGGGAGCGAACAGGAUUAGAUACCCUGGUAGUCCACGCCGUAAACGGUGGGAACUAGGUGUUGGCGACAUUCCACGUCGUCUGUGCCGCAGCUAACGCAUUAAGUUCCCCGCCUGGGGAGUACGGCCGCAAGGCUAAAACUCAAAGGAAUUGACGGGGCCCGCACAAGCGGCGGAGCAUGUGGCUUAAUUCGACGCAACGCGAAGAACCUUACCAAGGCUUGACAUACACCGGAAAACCCUGGAGACAGGGUCCCCCUUGUGGU
rnacentral:rRNA from 1 species